rnacentral:misc_RNA from 1 species
GACGGAGGGCGCAAACGUUGUCCGGAAUCACUGGGCGUAAAGGGCACGUAGGCGGUUCGGUAAGUCAGAUGUGAAAUCUUAGGGCUCAACCCUGAAAUUGCAUUUGAAACUGCCGAUCUAGAGUUCGGUAGAGGAAGGCGGAAUUCCAGGUGUAGCGGUGAAAUGCGUAGAUAUCUGGAGGAACACCGGUGGCGAAGGCGGCCUUCUGGUCCGAUACUGACGCUGAUGUGCGAAAGCGUGGGGAGCAAACAGG